UGAGGAAUAUUGGACAAUGGAGGCAACUCUGAUCCAGCCAUGCCGCGUGCAGGAAGACUGCCCUAUGGGUUGUAAACUGCUUUUAUAGAGGAAGAAACCCCGGUAUGUAUACCGGUCUGACGGUACUCUACGAAUAAGGAUCGGCUAACUCCGUGCCAGCAGCCGCGGUAAUACGGAGGAUCCAAGCGUUAUCCGGAAUCAUUGGGUUUAAAGGGUCCGUAGGCGGGCUUGUAAGUCAGUGGUGAAAGUUUACGGCUCAACCGUGAAAUUGCCAUUGAUACUGCAGGUCUUGAAUCAUUAUGAAGUGGUUAGAAUGUGUAGUGUAGCGGUGAAAUGCAUAGAUAUUACACAGAAUACCGAUUGCGAAGGCAGAUCACUAAUAAUGUAUUGACGCUAAGGGACGAAAGCGUGGGUAGCGAACAGGAUUAGAUACCCCCGUAGUCC
rnacentral:rRNA from 1 species